CCAGAAAGGGCUGGGCAACCCAGGAAGAUUGCGAGAGAGGAAGCCCUGGAGCUGGACCCAGACAGGGCCGUCUUUGCUCAGUUUGAAAGAUAAGUUACGUACACAUCUGAACUCUGGGGCACAUAGGAAUAACCCUGGCAACAUGACGGGUGUUGCUGAAGGUGCCAGUUGCUGGAGAUCCCCGCGCCAAGCCCUCGAAGCAGCCCCGACUUUCCAUGCAAUAAAGCAGCAGUGAGAAAGGCUCAGAGUAAUUAAGUGGCUGACGCACAGA